rnacentral:rRNA from 1 species
CAGCAGCCGCGGGAAUACGUAGGGUCCGAGCGUUGUCCGGAAUUAUUGGGCGUAAAGGGCUCGUAGGCGGUUUGUUGCGUCGGGAGUGAAAACCUACAGCUUAACUGUGGGCUUGCUUUCGAUACGGGCAGACUUGAGGCAUUCAGGGGAGAACGGAAUUCCUGGUGUAGCGGUGAAAUGCGCAGAUAUCAGGAGGAACACCGGUGGCGAAGGCGGUUCUCUGGGAAUGUUCUGACGCUGAGGAGCGAAAGUGUGGGGAGCGAACAGGAUUAGAUACCCGAGUAGUCCCUGUCUCUUAUAA